GAUCCGUAACUUCCAGAGAAGGAUUGGCUCUGGGGGUCGAGCCAGAAAGACUGAGAUCAGAUACGUGUCGGUCCAGUUGGGGGCUGGUUUCUUUGCUGCUUUGUGUGCUUCGGUGCGCGUUGUGGUGAGGUUACUGGACUCUGACCCGGGCCGAUCGUGGGCAGUUUCAGCUGUUAGUGUCGUGCAGCUAGCAACGCGUGAGGACAUGUUCCACGUCGCGUCAAGCGGCUGUACUUCCAUGGUCUGACGCGCGACGGCUAACUCAGAACUGACAC
rnacentral:rRNA from 11 species